rnacentral:lncRNA from 1 species
GCCAUGUUGGCCAGGCUGGUCUCGAACUCCUAACCUCAGCGGAUUCACCCACCUCCGCCUCCUAAAGUGCUGGGAUUACAGGCAUGAGCCACCGCGCCCGGCCAGGAGCACUGGACUGCAGACCAAGAGCUCUGGCUCCGGAAACUGGAGGCAUCCCUCUCCAUCCAAGACUGGCCUGCCAAGCUGCCUGCUUAGAAGGACUUUGGAAGCAAGACAGAGCAGUGUCUUCAUCAGAUACCUGCCAAGCUUUUGCAGCUGUUCCUGGAAGGAGACCCAGUUGAAAGGGGUUGUUAUGGACCAGGAACAGCUGGGAUCUUUAAUGAUCUGUGAGCAGCUUACAGCAAAGUUCCAACACCCUGAGUAUCAGUCCCCAAAUCCUUGGUCUUUGCAUUCCAACACAAAGUAAAAAGGAUUGAGCAGGGUUUUGGUUUUGGUUGCAAGUAACAGAAACCCAACGCUAAUUAAUAAACGGGAAAGUGUGUCAGUGGAAAUCUCCACAAGUCCGACGGAAAGAGAAAACUGCUUUCCCAAAGGGUGUAAGAGGAUGAAAGGCAUGUCAUCAGCUGAAUUGCAUCAGGUGUCCAUCUUGGAAUCAAUCACGGUGCCUCUUAUUAGCAAAGCCUGAGUCAUAGCCAGCAAGAAAACAGGGACCUUAAUCUUACGACCACAAGGAACUGGACUCUGCUACCAGAAUGAGCUGCAAGGGAGAUUCUUCCUCAGAAGCUUCAGAUAAGAACUCCACCUGGCUGACCUUUGAUUUUGGUUUUGUGAGAACUUUGGCAGAUAACCCAGGCAUGUGUCAUUUCACAUCUGCAUAAAAAGACAUGCUGAAGGAUGUUCCUUGCAGAAUGGUUAUAGAGAAAAAUGGGAAUAACCACGAUAUAAAGUAACAGUUGGUAUUGAAACUGGUAGAAAUUCCUCACUUUGUGCUUGACAUGUGGUUGGCACCAUUCCUGGUUCACGGCUGAUGUCCUACCCCCACCCCAUCUCCCUCCACUUUGGUAAUUUCAGCCGUUUUCCUGGAGGGGAG